AUACGGAGGGUCCGAGCGUUAUCCGGAUUUAUUGGGUUUAAAGGGAGCGUAGAUGGAUGUUUAAGUCAGUUGUGAAAGUUUGCGGCUCAACCGUAAAAUUGCAGUUGAUACUGGAUAUCUUGAGUGCAGUUGAGGCAGGCGGAAUUCGUGGUGUAGCGGUGAAAUGCUUAGAUAUCACGAAGAACUCCGAUUGCGAAGGCAGCCUGCUAAGCUGCAACUGACAUUGAGGCUCGAAAGUGUGGGUAUCAAACAGGAUUAGAUACCCUGGUAGUCCACACGGUAAACGAUGAAUACUCGCUGUUUGCGAUAUACUGCAAGCGGCCAAGCGAAAGCGUUAAGUAUUCCACCUGGGGAGUACGCCGGCAACGGUGAAACUCAAAUGAAUUGACGGGG
rnacentral:rRNA from 1 species